UUGAUUGGGCUUUUUUGGGCGAGCGACAGAUGUCACCCCAUCCUUUUCCCUGUCUUCCUUCCUAAUCUACCAUCACACAGAGAUUUACAUCGGAGAGAGAGAAAGAUCUGGAGAGAGGGGGAGGAUCGACGGCGUUGCUGCCGUGUAUCUCCGUCUUUGGCCGCCCUGACUGGCCACAUCCCCGCCUUUUCUCAGUUUACACCUCCCCUCCUCUCUCUCUCUCUCUCUCUCUCACACACACACACACACACAUAAAGGGUGACGCAAAUGACUUCCGCCCGGCCACCGUAGCUUAAUGACAACGCCAGUUAUUGUCGUGGGAAUCAGAAUGGGUUUCCGGUAACAUAUAGGAUGGUUGGUACGAUGAUGAUGUUUGCCUCUCUGGCUGGUGGCGAUUGUGAUUGCAGAACAUCAUCCACUUAAUCAGAGGUUCAUUUAUGCAAAAAAUUUUGAAUGAUAAAGCAGAACAAUGUUAUGAUUUGUAUGCAACCUGUUUAAGUUCCCUUUUUUAAUGUAAACUUACAUUAUUAUCAUCUGUAUGUAUUUUUCGUUGGUUUUGGUUGUGAAAAGUGCUCCGAUUAUGACGGUUUUGGAGCUCCUUUCAGGUUUGCAAUGCUAAACCAUACAUCUGAAAUAUGGUCUGACGAUGGUGUUGAAAAAGGCCCUUUAGGGUUUAUGAUGAUAAGGCGUAAAUCAUUCAUUUUUGGGCAUACGAAUGUUGUAUUCUUUAUAUAUAAUAAUUUAUUAAUAAUUGAGGCGUAUGAACUGUGUUUGUAUUUGGUUUGGCUGUUAUCGGUUUAAAUGGACAGUUGUUACACGGAGGCUGUGAUGAGUAAUCAAAAUAAAGCCGGCGUGGCAGCUACGGAGGAUCUCAGGCUAUGAUGAUCAUGGUCAGAUCAUUACUUGGCGUAGGUUGGCAGGUGCAUUGUUCUCCGCUUGCAACUGAUGGUGCAGCCAUGGCAGCUUAAUAGCUUGGUCUGAGCCUCACCAUGCUGGUUUCGAGGUGAUUAACCUAUAUCGCAGUCGAUUUUAUGGCUGAACAUCGUGCUUUUCAGUUCAUGUUUGGUAAUUUUUCAUGUCACUGAUCAGUAUGGGAACAAGCUAUCCAGGGAAAAUGUUGUUGAUCCUGUCCAACAGUCACUUGGACCUAGAGGUUGCAGUUACAUAUCAUUAAGGGGUUCAGUUUGGGUCAAAUCAGCUAUGGAACACACAAACCAUCGAGUUAACCGCUAUCCGAGGUCUUCACAGUUCCCUCAAACCUCAAAUGCAAUGUUGUAUCUGCAGAAUUCUGGACUCAGGAAUUGCUUCAGUUGUUUAUAUUACUGAUAAAGGAGAUGAAGAUCGACGCCGGACACAAACCACAGUCUCCCAGGGAUUUACACAUACACAAAGGAGACUGCACCAGUUUAUGUAUGCUGAUCGUGAUACGACACUAGAGAAUAUGAUCUGUUGGAGAACUCUAGAAAGAUUAAAUUGUCAGUAACCGUUGAGAAUUGCAGUGAGAAAGGGUAUACAGUUAUAAUGCAGUUUGUACACUUACUGCUAUGAAAUAUGUGGUAUAUCAUGCCACCGUUAUUGCUGCUGAAGGAGUUGAAGCUUAUCAGGUAUUACUUUAACUCAUUAAUUUUGCUAUAAGUCAACACUUUUUUUAGAUCAAUUUAGGGAAAUAUUAAUCUGGUUGAGGUGGGGACUAUCCUUUCGGAUCCACACUCCCAGACCAUUGCAACAACUUUGCUUUUGUGGGUUUUUACUUGCUAUGGUUGUUGUAUUAGUAUGUUGUUAUAUUUGUGUUGUUUUAAGGACUUUUAUAUCCGUCACUGAGACGGAUGUGUUGCCGCUUUAAUUAUGAUUUUCCACCUUUCCAGCCUUACAUUUUAUAGAUUGUGCUAUUUUAUUAGGCCUUUUUUUAAUCCAAACAUUUGUAAUAAAAUUCUGUUAUGUAUGAAGGUUUAAGGAACCAUUGGAAAAUUACUGAAAAGAACAUGAAAUUACAAGAACUCUUGCAAACAGAGAGUUUGUAUCUCAAUCUUUCUCUCUCUCUCUCUCACACACACAGACAUAUAUUUAUUAUGCAUACUUAUAGACACACACACAAACACACAAAGGAAUACAAAAGAUUAUCAUCUUCACGGGUGGCAAAACAUGCGGGUCGGGCAAUGUGUUAAAGCGGGUUGGUUCUUAAGUGAUAAUAUCCAAGUCUUUAAUAUUUUUGACCCAUUAUCCAUAAAUCUUAAACCAAAAUAACUUGGUUUCAUUUGAUUGGGUUUAUGUUCUGUAGUCAGUUUAGCAUUUAGGGUUGAUGAUUAUUUGUAUUCUGUAGCAUUUAGGGUUGAUGAUUAUUUGUAUUAUUGGUAACAUUGGAGAUUUGUUUUUAGUGUUUAGCUGAAUUGUUAAUCAUUGUUGAUCACUAAAAGUAAUACAGUCAAGUAAUUUCAAAACCACAUAAAUCUAUGUUUUAGAAUUUGUUUUUAGACUUUAACAGGUACCCACUUACUUAUGUUGAAGAGAUGUUUAGCAUGGUGGCGUCAUGGUUCUAAAGAUGUGAGAAAAUUAUGCUUUGGAAUGUUGUACGGAACUUUUUGGUUCAUUUCGAAAGCUCGCAACAAAUUGGUCUUCAAAAAGCUUCGCCCCUCUAUUAAAAAUACGGUGAAAAAAAUCAUAGCUCAUCUGUUUUCGUGGGUCAAAAAUAAGUCGAAACACCAUUCCUUAUCAUGGCAGAGCCGAAUGAUAUGUCCUGACUGCUGUUUAUUUGUAAGAGGGUAGGGUGAUUGGCUUUGGCUUUGCUAUAUGUUGCUUUUCUUAGUACUUUUUUCCAACCCAUAGCUGGUUGGUUGCUAAUAUAUUUUGUUUGUUGCUAGCCAAAACAAGUAGGAUGCUAUAUCUAACAUAUUUAUUUUUUACAUAUCUUUAGAGAGAAUGUAGCUCAAGUUUUUGUACUCUUA